rnacentral:rRNA from 1 species
AUUGAACGCUGGCGGCAGGCUUAACACAUGCAAGUCGAGCGAGCGGCGGACGGGUGAGUCAUGUCUGGGAAACUGCCUGAGGGAGGGGGAUAACUACUGGAAACGGUAGCUAAUACCGCAUACCAUCAGAUGUGCCCAGAUGGGAUUGGCUAGUGGGUGGGGUAAUGGCUCACCUAGGCGACGAUCCCUAGCUGGUCUGAGAGGAUGACCAGCCACGCUGAAACUGAGACUGGGUCCAGACUCCUACGGGAGGCAGCAGUGGGGAAUAUUGCAAAAUGGGCACAGGCCUGAUGCAGCCAUGGCCCGUGUGUGAAGAAGGCCUUCGGGUUGUAAAGCACUUUCAGCGAGGAGGCGUUACUCGCAGAAGAAGCACCGGCUAACUCCGUGCCAGCAGCCGCGGUAAUUC